rnacentral:tRNA from 1 species
UCCCAGGUGGCUCAGUGGUAAAGAAUCUGCCUGCAAUGCAGGAGACUCAGGAUUGAUCCCUGUAUAGGGAA